AGCCAGGCCUUCCACCAGAUCCCUGUUUGUUAGUAAUACAAAAUACAGGAAUAUCAGAUUCAAGUAUGCAGCAAUGACUAGAUCACUACAAAAGGAACAUUGUAAAAGAAGUACUGAUACAAGUACAAAGAAUGAAAAAUUUAAUAGCAAUGGAAGCAACAAAAAGGUAAUGAAAGAAGGCUCUUGGCCAAACCAAAAGAACGAUAUAAAAGAAUAGUGGUAUGACUAACUUAUGAAGCACUAAAAAGUGAUAAUGGUUAUGUCUAAAAAGCAAAUAUUGGUAUAAGCUAAACCAAUAUAUGGCUCAACUAGGAUACAACUGAUAAUCAUAUGCAUAAACGCAUUCCAGAAAUUGCAAGCUUAAGCUGUUACUACUGCAUGUCAAUUAGUAGCGGUCCUUAGAAAACCCAGAAUAAAUGCAACCCCAUGUUUUUACAGUGCCUCUGUGCAUAGAUUAUAUCAAGAAUUGCACGAAUUAUAAAGUAAGCUCAGCAUUCCAACACCACGGAGAAAAGCAUAAAUAAAAUGCAGAUAUUAUUGCAAUGGAUAAGCUAGAGUUUUUUAUGUCAGCAUUUAUGGAUCUUUAUUUUCAUUCAAAUAUACAAAAGCAUACAAAAAUUACACAGCAUGUAGAGAGGAUGAUUGAAUUCAACAGACAGCUACUACUCUAUCUUAAAGUUAAUGCACAAAGAAAAUGAUUAUAUGGUGUAAAGCAUACCCCAAUUGACAAUCAACAAAGGUAAACUUUAUCAUAAACAGAGGUAUAACCAGCAACAAUUUAAAGUGCUAUAGUGAAAUUACCCUAAAUGAGGGCUGGAAAUCUGCUGGAGCACCUCCCUUUUCACCACCAAAAUCACCCCCUCGAGGACCUCCUCGGUACCCAUCACGAUCACCAAAUCUUGGACGGUCACCUUCAAAGCGUGGUGGGCCUCGGGGACGGUCACCAGGUGGGCCACCCAUUGGCCGACCAGUGGGCCUCGCAGAUUUCUUCAAGGUGGCAGGAACAAUUUCUGACGGAAGAUUAAGAUAAGUUCUCAAAAACUCAAUCCCAUCAUUUGUGAGGUACCAGUAGUAGUGCAUCCAUGCAAAUGUCUCACGGACAUACUCCUUGGAUUUGAAGCUCUGCAUCAGCUUAAUCACCUGCAGAUUUGGGACAUCGAUAUUUGGGUGCUUUGCAAGGUUGAAAUCCUUCUUUGCAUAGCAAACUCCCUCUGUGAUUCACCAGAAACUUAAGAACCCAUUAGUUAAUGGUAAAAUACAUGAAAAUUUCAGUUUUUCAAACCAUUCAAUACCCAAGAAAUAAAACAAGCACGCAAGGCCCCUUCUAUUGAACUUGAUCUAAAAUGCAUAGCAGAUUAGCUGCAUUUCCUACUAACUAGAAGACAAGCAAAAAGGCAUUGAGAGAACCUGGCCCUCUUUUCCUGAUUAUAUUUCCCAAUAAAGCAGACAAAGAAAACUAUCUGAUAAUUGGGAGCUAAUUUAACCACCAUUUUAUAUCUACUAACAUCCAGUAGUUCAAUUAUGGUUAAAAUUAUGUUUGAACGCAAAUGAAUUUGAAAUUCAUUUGUAAAUAAAUUAUCAAUCGGCACCUUGCAUAUUCAUACAUAGAAUUCAUUAUAAAUAAAGGAACCAUUACGAAGAUUUUGAAAACUCUAUACUAUUAUUAUGGUUCAUUCAAAAUUUCUAUCAAUUUGGAUAGGAUUUGAAAUCAUAUAAAACUUCUUGGAAUUCAGUUGAUCCAUUAAAGCUCUUAAAUGCAUUUAAAUCCUUAAACAGAACAAGCGAACUCGAAGAAUAAAACUUUAAAGUUUUUUUUUUUCUAUAACAGUUUUCUAUGUCACCGAAAGGACCUUUAGUGGAAGGCAAACAGUAAAUCAAAACAAAUAACGAACAAGAGCGAGUAGAGGAGAUAUCAGAACCUUGAAAGAGAUACUUUGAGAUCUCCCUCCUGUUCUUCUCUGGAAUAAUCAUGGUUGUUAACAGGCGACAAAGCAAACCCUUCUAUUUGGCAGUAGCUGCAGUCUGCAGAGAUGCAAGGAAGCUCGUAAACCCUAGAGGAAUGAUGUGGACUCUAUGUAGGGAACGUCUAUACCUGAUAAUCCAGCUAAG
rnacentral:misc_RNA from 1 species